CACAUAGAUAGGCCUCCUGCGCCUGAUCAGCUUUCUCCUCCUCCUCCUUCGUGGGUGGCCGCGCUUCUCUUUUCUGAUGUGUUUGACCUCGUCUCCCACGUUUUGUUUUUCUUUGUUUCACCACAAAUACAGAGCCCAAGGCGAACUCUCUGAUCACCAUGGACAGAGACAUGAAUGAGCAGUCGCGGCGGCAGCGCCGUGUUCUUCGCUCCGCUGCCGCCCGCCAGCAGCGGCAGGAUGACAGCGGGCAUAGGGAGACGGAGGUAGCCGCUGCACCCUCGGUACGGCUUGCUCCCUCCGUGACUGGUGCACAAGGGCCCGCGCCUGUCGCGCGGGCACCAGCACCGCGGUUGGUGGGUCCGCCGUCAAUGCCAGGAACUUCGCCAAGCGCCGCUGGCGCUGCUACUCCUAGAGAAAGCAGGUCAGACUUGCAGGCCUCUGCUGUGGCGCCUCGUGGUAGUUCUGGGGGUGGCGCAGCAGCCUCCACGGCAUGCAAUAACAGUAGCAGCUCCGCUGCGUCUGGGGCUGCCACCGCGGCUUCAUCACUGGAGCCAACUCCAGCGAUGGUUAGCACGUCCUCAACUGCAGAGGCAGCGAUGGAGUCUGCCGUGGCGGGUCGGCGAAUGAUGGUGGACCGUACCCUUUUCAGCACCAUCGCCUUCUCCUCUCCGCUUUUUGUGAACAACAUAUCUCAGCGAAUGUUGUAUCCAGUGCUGCAGAGGCACCGCGCCGAGCAAAAACGUUUCCUCACCACUGGCGGACCAGGCAGUAGGGACGGCAGCAGUGGCGGCGCUGGAGGGGCACGCGGUGGCGGCAGCGCCGUUGCUGGCACGCAUGUGGACAGCGAGGCAGCCCAGUUGCUGGGCAGUGACGGCACACCUCUGUUCGGCAGCAACCGAAUGCCAAUGAGCAUGCGAGCUCGAGCAGGGGCGAUUCUCGACAAAAGCGGCGACGCUGACGCCGACCGACGUCCCGGCGGCGGCGGCGCAGCCGACCUCGACUUUGCGAGCCUUGCCAGCCAGCUCACGUCCACGCUGGAGGAGGCGUCGGAGGAGGUGCGCCGCUUACUCGAGGAGGAGGAGACGCUGCUGCACCGCGAGGAGGUGCGGUGCAAGCGAGUCGAGAUCCGGGAAAAGCGGCGGCUGGCGACAGUUAGGCUCGGGCUCGAGGGCACCUCCGCGCGGCUUCAGCUGUACGAGAAUCGCGUCAGCAAUGCGCAGGCAGCAACGGCGGGUAUUGAGCAGCAUCUGGCCCACUCCAAUGCACGCGUGCAGCGUGGCAAAGCGGUGUCGCAGCUGCUGCGCUACUUCAAAAUGAUGACGAGCAUCUCGAGCAACGAGCUGCGCGCGCUGCUCGAGUCCAUCUCGGCUACCCGCAAAACCCAACGCGCAGCUGUGACGACGCGCUGGGCAGCCGGGCGCGUGUCCGCCUUCCGCCCUCGUUUCUACACUACGGUAAUCAGCACCGCCGCACCCGCCUCAGCAACAAAGCGCUAUGGGCUUGGCAGUACCGCCAGCUCCGUCACCACACGCACUGUGCUGACCUCCUCGCGCUCGGCAGGCGUGGGAGCGGGCUCGGAGGGGGAUGACGGCAGCAGCAUGGCGAAGCGGUCUGCCUCAGCGACUGCAGUGGCUCCCGACGCCGACGCUGCGCCAGCGCGUACCACGCGCCGACCCCGCGUGUUUCGCAGCGGCGCGCGACGUCGCAGUCCAGCUGCAAGUAGCGACGCCUCCCCUGCUUCCCAGGCGCGCUCGCUCUCACCGCAGCAGUCUCCUCAGCGUUCUCCGCGAGCCGCCGCCGGCAAAGACAUGCCAGGCGACGACGACGACAAUGCAGUGCGCAUGCAAGGCGCGGUUGGCGGCAACGCGGUGGCUGAGCAUGACGAGGACGAGCAGGAAGAAGCCGGGGACGACGACGAGGCGGCGGCGGCCAUGGAGGACGGCGGUGACGGCACGGACGGGGACGCGAUUGUGGACCUGACACAGGUGCGCAUGCAGCGCGCCGAGGCCGCCGCCGUUGCAGCCGGACUUGACCGGCUCUUCGCCCUCCGCUUCUGCACCGAGGCGCAGGUUGAGUGGUGCCAGCGGCUCACGCUGCUGGCGAACGAACUCGGCGACUUGGCCACCAACGCGAAGAACGUUCGAAUUUACGUAGACUGGUUGCGCAAGGAGCUCGUGUCCGACCUCUUCCACGUCGUGACGUGCUUCAACGACUUCUACAAUGAGCAUCCACAGACGGCCGUGUAUCAGGCGUACGGCCGCGCUCUGCUCAAGACUCUUGGACGAAUCUCGUCCUUGUAUAACACGCUGACAGCGUCGAAUGAUGAACUACUCUCGCUGUUCUUUUCUCGAUCUAUCAACGACUUGGGCGUGGCCCUGUUUAGCGAAUGGAGCCCGAAGCCGCUGCCGGGGCUGCCACCACUGCCGCAGUCGUCGGAGGUGCGUGCGAUGGACCACUACCGGCAGCACACCGACAAGGAGCUGCAGCGGACCUUCCGCUUCCUGCUCGACCGCAUUCGCCGCAACGUCGUCGUCGUCGAGACGAUCUUCGGUACCACCAACACGGCUCGCCAGCAGCUGCUGUCGCGUGUCACGGACGGCGUGGUCAGGCCGUUCCUGAGCCAGCAGAUCAAGCUGGCGGAGACCCAGGCGACGUCGAUGAUGCAGGCGGAGGGCAGCCUAACCCCACGCACAAAGCGGCGCUGCGGGGCGCGGGUGGCCGACAGCAUUGCCUACCACCACACGAUGGAGACGCGCCUCUACGCCUUCUACCAGGAGUACGUGAGGGAGCUCAGGAACAUCUUCAGCGCCAACCAGGUCGACUUCCUCGGCCGAUUUGUCGACGUCAUCUUUGCGCAGCGAGGCGCCUAUAGCGCCCAGCGCACGGAGCUGGAGCUCCUGAACCGGUACUUUACACUUAUCGAGGAAAAGUACACGCGCAGUCUGCACGCCAUCCCGGACGAGUUCUUUGACCUACGCGAAGCGCACAUGACGAAGAUGAAGGAGGUGCUAACGUGUCUGACGGAGGUGGCUGGCCGCGUGAAGACGUACGCGCUUCCUAAGGAGGUGGGCUCCUACGUGUACGACCUCAUCAAGGCCACGCUCGUGUACGUCGGCAACUACCUCGAUGCGGAGCUGCGCAAGGUUUCGGAUUCGUUGCGCAACGAUCGCGAUAACUGGCGAGUCAAGCCCAAGUCAGAGGACGAGCUGUUGCAGCCGCUAAAGAUGGAGCCGCAGCAGUGCGCGAUCCGGAUGCUGCUCUUCGCCCAGUCCUCCCUUAUGACUCUCAGUGACACGACAGAUGCCAUCUGCGUCCCGCUCCUGCAGCAAUAUCCGCGGCUCAUCCAGGACGUCGAGGAGGCUCGCAGCACCGCUCUGGAGGCGGUAGAUGAACGCUCGGAGCGCCUACUGAACAUGUGCGUGCAGGCAAUUCUGCUUCGCUCCCUCUCGAUUCUGCAGCACUAUCAGCUGAAGAGCGACUACUUGCCCAAGGCGGACUCGAAGCGCGACGACGCCGACACGGUGGCACCGCCGUGCACGCGUGCCUGCACCUUGUUCUGCUACUACAUCACACGCCAAUUCGACAUGGCUUCCGAGUUUAUUCGAUUGUCGAACGGGCAGAUACACCAGCGGCAGAUGUCGUCGCAGACGGCCGCUGGCGGGGCCCUCGGUGCAGCGGUGCAGCAGCAUCAGGCCGCGCGGGCAGCGGCGACAGAUGUGGUCAGCGGCACUGGCGGUACCACCCCCGUGCUAGAGUCAGUGAUGCCGUCCUCCACGAAUGGGGCCUUCACAGCCUCGCCUGCCUCCAGCGUCAGCGCUGUGCGGGCGCGUGCACGCACAAUGAACCUUCAGCAGCUUUUAUACGGCGAUGGCGGGCCGUCUUCCUUUGUGCGCACCUUGGGUGUGUGCCUGUACCGCGGCAUUUCGGCUCACCUCAAGAGCUUCGUUGCGAACGACCGCGGCGCGCUUGUGUAUAAGCAGGACGUGACUGCCUACAAGGAGGCGAUGGCCCCGCUCACGAGCACACCAGGACUUGGUGGUGCCGUGGUCGAGGUGCUGUUCCAGAUGCUGAAGGAAACGAGCAGUCUGCUCAUCAUGCCACUGGAUCACAUUCGCGAGGUAAAGGAAUCAGGCUAUCUGAAGCUCAUGUCGGCAGAGGAGAAGCUGCGCUACCUGCGCAUCCGCCAAGACGUGCGCUCAGCCAUGAAGAUCAUCUUCCAGUAGGAGUUCUGCGAGACAGGAAGGCAAUUCACAAAGACGGCUGCACAGGCUUUGAAGAGCCCUAUCAAGCCGCGUAGGUUCUUCUUGGAGCAUUGGCAAGGAGUCGCUCCGAAUAGCGUUUUUUAUUAUUAUUACAAAUCUACCGCUCUCCACGCGUGCGCGCGCCUCGUGCCGACCUCAUGCUGUCGGGCAACACGUAGGCUAUGAUAUUUUGCCCGUGCUUACGGGAGCAACGCAGCGGAGUUCCUCUCUGGCACGCCUGUGCUCAUUCCUUGUGGACAUUGCUCUGCCGAAGUGGUACACACCAGCGUAGCACCUGCUGCGUCCAAACGGGCCGUAAUGCAUGAAGGCUUGCAUCACCGGCUUUGAAGGGGCGCGGGAAGCGCGAAAGUGCCGAGAACUCCUGCCUUUUUGGUGUGGCGUUGAUGCAACCUCCUAUCUUGCCGUUUUCGGGUCAAGAGUCCGGUAUAUCAGCGAAUCCCCUCCGCUCUUCCUACAUGGCACGGCUUGAAUCAACGGUGCUCCACGGUGCCGUCGCGUGGUGGGAUGGUGCUGGUCGGCAACUGCACGAGGGCACCUGUGCACCCUCACACCAAAGCAGCCGCAGCCAUCGUGGGUGCCCCAAAAUAUGCAGAUAGCGGACACCCGCCGGGAGAGGCCGAUCCACUGCCCCCCGACCCCAUAGCGCUGUUGCGCCGCACCUGCCUGCAUCCGUCCACGGCCACGCCAGGAGGCCGCCUUGCGCACUUGGCGUGGGGAUGGGUGCACGCGCCGCAUGGCGGUGCCGUCACAACGCCCCCGCAGCUCUCACGCCGGUGUGCAGGCAUCGACACCCCUCGGGAGCCCCGCGCGCGCACGCCUCCGUUAUGCGCAGCGAUCGCGUGUGCGUCAGCGUAUCAUUUCCUGCCGGGCUGCGGGCGCACCCGCCGGACGAGGAAGAAGCCAGCGUCGUGCGUGCAGCGACUCUCCCAUGUUGCGGCGUUGCCGUACUCGCUGUGGGCAGAUGGACAUCAAGAUAGGCGCAGCCGCGAUGCGCUAUCCUGAUGACGCACUCACAGGCACACAGACAGGGGGCUGCGGCCCACUUGCUUGCGGCCCCGGCGCGGAGUGUGGAGCCGGGACCUGACCUGCUGCGAAAGACUGCUGGGAAACCAAGACAUAGGAAAACAAGUGCGGCUGCUGCCACAGGUUCGCUCUCCCUCCUCGUGGCGCUCUCAGGGCAGGCCCUGCGAUUGCGGAGGGUGGCCCGUCGCGUGCGCCUCUCACUUGGGUGUGUCUGUGAUCAUUGUGGAUUGGAACACGUGGACAAGGUGGGCAAGCCUGCAACAUGAGCAAUGCCGGAAGCACCGGCACCAACUCUAUGGAUUACCGAUUUGGUCGUACUGCUCUCCGACGCCGGGCCAGCGUCCCCCUAUUACCCGCCCGACAGACGCCGCCGCUGGUGCCGCUCGAGCAGGGCUCUGAGCGCGGCCCGCUUGGAUGGCGGCGUGCAGCGCACGUGCGACGAAGGGAUGCGGAGGGACGAGACGAGCCCGUCAGACACACGACCCGAUACGACGGCAGGACGGUGCGCGCUAGACGACCAGGGGUUGGCCGCAGCGCGACCGCGGGGGGUGGACUGUGGCUGUGUAGGCGCAUGCUUUGGCUGGCUUGUCUGUGACAGUAAUGGACCGGCUGACGAACUUUGCCUGCUGGAUUCUCUACCGCCUUGUUCGGCUGAUCAGCAGAAGGCUGCGAGAGGCGAGCGGUGAGUGUUGUAUCGCAUGAGCGCCGGGCUGCAUGAGC
rnacentral:misc_RNA from 1 species